rnacentral:lncRNA from 1 species
CUCAGGUUAGUGCGUCGAUUGCCACAAUAAUAGCGAAACCUUUCGUUCCUUAAAUAUAGUGCUUCUUCUAUUACUACUUAUGUAGCAGAGUUAAACUGGCGAUUUUUGGUUAUCAUAAGCCUUUAACUGGAUCACCUAACUCUUUGUUCUUGUUCCGUGUUCCUCACUGUUUUCGAUAUCCGAUAUUUAUAAUGAUAUCCUUUGUUUUUAGUGCGCCAUUAUUGAUCUUGCUUGCUGUCGGCAAAUAUAUAUGGUCGGCCAAUUGAUACUACACUUUUCACCUCUCUUACCCAAUCGCUAUACAAACAACAUCGACAAUGUCGCCGUAAAACUGCCGCAAUAACAACCGAAUCGUCGGCGCUGAGUUGUUUUUUACCAUUUGUUGUCGAACCCACAGUCGUUUAGUAAUAGAAAUAAUCUUAUUAUCGUUGUUCUAUAACCAUUACCCGAUACCACUACCACUAGAGUGAUAGAUCGGUAGCGCUGUAUUGAGCCAUCGAGAACAGUGGAAGUUGUACGAGUUGCCGAUCUGCUUCGAUGACGAGCACUUCCUCAGCUGCUGCUACCUAUUGGGCCGCCCUAAUACAUGAAUUAGCACUCGUGUAAGUCGCGGCUGUAGCACUGAUAGUAGUCGCAUUUGUAUCUCUUGUAGCCGCUAUCCGAAUUCUGGCGAUAAACUGCUGUUCACAACGUAAGCAACCGUUUUCACCGCGAUCGCGUAUCGCCGUUUCCACCUCCCACAGCAGCAGCGGCUUUACCUGCUUCAGCAUUGACCGUCACUUUUACGCGACGAUGGCCAAUAAUAGGCCCUUCGCGGACCACUGUGCACAAAUCAGCAAGCAUCUAAUUUUACACGGUCACCAUGGAAUGGCAAUAGUGGACGAAGACGCACGGGGCAACGCCGGGAGGCAAACUUGACUGGAAGACCAAACCUGAUCUUCUCGACUAACCGACCGACCGACCGACCGACCGACUGACGGCCCGGCUCGCCGAUCACCCAAUCACCGAUCACGAUUGGCCAUCAACGACGCAGUACCGACAACAUCAUAAAUGACAAAACUGGAUGUGACAACGAUGUCAACAAAAAAAAUGAAGAUUUCGGGGCAAACGAGUCACUCCUUCGCUAUUCUACUCACGCGUCAACGGUCCUCGAUGUUCCGUGCUGCUACGGCUGCGACCGCCACUAUUGACGGGGUAUUCACUCACCGCGAUAUAUACACCAGAGAAACAGACAGGUACAAACAACCCGAGAAAAACCCACGGCACUCACCACACAUUCAUGACGAUUACUUGCUGUUAUGUGUGCGAGACUGUUGUUAGCCGAUUGGGUGGUCGACUUUUUCUUCGCCUAGCUGGUUUUUGGCCGAAAGUAACUGAUAUUGUCGUUAUCGACGGUAAGCGAUACUGUGGUUCAUCUAUGUGACAAACUGGCGCUAGCAAACGUAGAGAUUUGCUGCGACAGCCGUAAUUGCACGCGACUUUCGCCUACGGUUUCUGCCACCAACAACAGCAGAAGCUGUCCGUGCUGCUGCCGUUCCUGCCACCACUGCGACUAACACCGUUGAUCAGUUCUGGCCAAUGACGAGUCACGGCUGCGGGGUCCCAACUCUUUCGGCCCAGUUCGGUCGGCUGGGUUCGGUUCAACCAAACGUGCGACAACCAACAGCCUCUAGCCCAUCCAUGGCAAUUACUGCUACAGCUUCUUCUGCUAGACGGAGUCUUACGACUUACUACUAUUUCGAGCUGCUGCUGCUGCUGGUGCCGCCGCCGUUACUGUUGUUGAGUCCCAUGCUGUCGAUGCUGUGACUCUACUUUGCUGUCGUUAGGUGCAUGCUGUUGUUGCUGUCGCAGCCAGCCAAUGAUCGGCUUGAGGCUUCUUUCUCGCCGUCGUCGUCGUCGUCGUCGUUGUCGUCCUCUCCUCUCCUCUCUACCGUCUGGUCACUCACUGCUGUGUAAUGCUGUACAGACGGACAAACAGGCGGACGGACCUCGGAGCAGCGACGGCUGCUCUUACAGCGGAGAACUGAGAGCGGCGCAGGCGCUGACGGAAGCUCACAAAAAACAAUAUGGCGGCCACCUUUCGUCUGUGUUUCUGGCUGAACCGUACGCGUGUGUAUAUGUGCAGUCUCCCUACACGUGAUGGAUAGCAGUCGACAAAGUGAGCCCAGUGAGAGCUGCUGCCGUAAGGGUUCAUCACUGUAUCCAAUCAGCGCAGUUCUGCUCGGCUGCUGUUAGUUAGCAGACGAUUGCAACAACAACAAAGGCUGUACGCGGACACACUUCUAUUACUACCAUAUGAAACAGCGAGGGGUUGUAGUUAACUGUGGGGUUCUGGUGACGAAACGCUGGGCUAAUGAUCAGCAGCGUCGGUGCAACUCAUUGUCAGUCGUCUUCGUAUGGUCCGCCACAGGCAAACAUCGUACGGGUAUAGCUGAAUGAGAUCGAGGGCUCAACGCCAAUGCUCGGCCGGGUAGAUAGAGAACGAAACGACCGGAAAGUCGACACACCCAUGUGAACUAGGACGGGUUCAAAAUGUCGAGUAGUCUCAACACGGCGACAGCUGCAACCAAAGGCAACACAGACAUCCGUUGAGCUUACUCGGAGGCGCAUUUAUGUUUGUCUCUACCAACGGGGGCCAAGAGUAUCAAUGUUUGGUUGUGCAAUAUCAGCAAUAAGGAAGCACUCGGGCAUAGAUACGGACAUUAAAUCAAAACACCAGCUAAAAAUAACGGGCACUCUAAACAAAAAACGUAUCGGAGAUAUGGAUCUAGAAUAAUGACAUAGCUACAAAGAAGAAACUUUGAAAUAUAAAGGUCUGAAAAACAUAACAUUGUGUACAAAAUACGAAGCAUUUUUGUACCAUUUACUAUCUAUUACUGCCAACUCGAAAACCGUAAUUUCUAACAAUUUUGUUAAGGAAAAGUAGUUAACUCUCGGUACUGAUACUUUUCAAAUUGGCUAAGUAUCCCAGUAGCAUAGACAGGUUUGGGAUAUAAAUCGCAUAUAACAUGUCAUGAUGUUCAGUGCAGUGAGCUGCACGGUGAAGCUUCUGGGUAAAGUGGGUAACACAUCGCUAGUUCAAGCCCUGCUAACGACACUGACUUGAUAAUGAUAGUAAUAAUUAAUAAUUCAACUCGUUUACUUACAGGACAAUUUCGUGACACGCUUGUCUUGUGUUUAGUUCCUUCAAGUAUGUCUAAAGCUGUGAUUGCAUGACAGCCGAAUUGAGGCUACGUUACAUGUAAACAUUACCGUACUCAACCAGUAACUAUAAUCAGUCAGCGGCAGUACAAGCGGCAAAAUGUGCUCGAAAGGUUGCCAUGACUUGAGAAUUCUUGCUUCAAUCUUAAUAUCAUAUAUUAUACAAAAAAUUAUGUAAAAAAUUUCUGUAGUUUAUUUGAAACUGAAAUGUAUCGUUGUUCACAUAAUAGUUAAUGUCUAUAUAUAACAUUUCUAAUUCCCUUUUCGUGAAAAUACGAGGAAAAUGUAUCAAUGAUACAUUCAAACAAUACGUUCUCACACUAUCUAGUUGUUUGGCUGUACGCACCAAUUAUAUAUAGGUCAAAACUUCGUCUUUUUUGCUUUUCUUCAGUAAACUUAUUGUUUUUUUUUUUCGGAAAUUCCGGGUAUCAUUAACAUGGAAACUGAAGCACAAAACAACAGGAAGUCAUUAGGAAAUACGAAUUUUCAUGAUUAGUUGAGCGCAAAAUAAGAAUAUUCAUGAAACUGAACAUACACAAAUUAGAUGCACAGGAAACAAAUAAGACUAUUUUAUUUUUUUGAUAACAAAAAUAGUUUCUGUCUACUUACUAGUUAUCACCACGGAGUACGCAACUACGAGUAAUGAUUGCUUUGCAUCUGCGGCCCGUCGAACAGCUCAGCGUAAAUAGUGCUAUUGAAAUUUUAACGAACUUGCCGAUAGCUUUUCCAAAAUAACUAUUAAGAAUAAAUGUUUAAAGCUAAUUCUGUCAUUUUUCCAUGUUGCUUCCAUUCUAUCUCUGGUCUCAUACACCUUCGAGCCACAUUUUCACUUAAAAUUUUCAUACACAAGUCGUUUAGCUUAUUUGUCUUUUCCAACGUAUGUCUAUUAAAAAUUAACCUCCUUCUUUAGUGCAUGGAUAUUAGAUGAAAAGCUUUCAAUAACCAUUUAUUUUUAUUAUAACUUACCAAGGAACAUUGCCGGAAUCGCCUAGAAAACAAAAUACCAUCUUCAUUUUUCCCCCUAGAUACAAUGUCUUGACGCACGUAAAAGAAACAAAGUGCUUCAUGAAAGCGUCUCGUAUAUGUACACGUAACUUUUUUUUGAGUGGUGCUUCAAGCGGCUUUUGUGCCCCUUCGAUUAACGCAGGACGCUUUGGACGUCAUUUGAGCUGAAGAACAUUUGGGGAUUGGGCCAAUUAACCACUGAAGCACAGAACAAAUCAGAGGUCCCUAUGUUAGUAUCGGCUCCUUGCUGACCUGGAACACUUCUGUUUGCGUAGGAAGUUGGUCGACGUUUGGCAGUUUGGAAUGUCUUGGGCAGACCGGUCUCAGAAACCUUUUUUGCUAACCGCGCGUCAAAAUGCUCUUGAAAUGUAUCCAAUGGCAUUAUAAGUAUAUUGGAUUCAUGUUGUCGAACUACAGCAGAAGUCUACCGUGAUGGUGGCUGCGGCAGAAUACAUCAGAACGGAACCCGUGUUUAACGCCACCAGACAUCAAUGUUUAACCGGCGUUAACCGGCGUUAACCGGCAAUAAUGUAUAACAAGCUUUACGAACAAAAAAAAAACUUGAUUCGGGCUUUUUGUUACAAGUCGAAACUACUAUUAUAAAUAAACAUCUCGAGUUUUUACGACUGGUGCUGGCGUAAAUUAUUGUUAGACAGCGUAUUUACUAGUCUAUCAAGCCAGUGUUAAGUUUAGCAUUACUAGCGAAAGUUCUAAUUCGUGAACGCAUAAUAAUAUAAGCAAUGACUUUAAAACAUUGGAAAGUACACAUAUAGUUAAUUAUACUCUAUACGCGUAUUAUUCAACAAUGCUGUAGGCUCUUUCUCGGCGCGUGCGGUUUUUCCUAAGCUAUUGUGCAAUGACCUUGAUAGCGCAGCUCGGAACAGGCGAACGGGUGCAGGUUUGUCAAUUAGCCCUGACUUCAGAUCGAAUUCGAAUCCAAAGCACCUAAACAUGUAGGACGUCGGCCCACCUUAGCCCAGCUAAUUAUCAACUUUAACAUGACAUCUUUUGUGAAUAAGACGAUUCAUUAUGCAGCUUUUUGUUUAAUGAGUUAAUAAGCAAACACGGGCUUUCGUAUCUAAGGUUUUCUAACUGCACCAGCAUCCGCCAGAUCCCUUUGUACCUGGCCUUAGAUCGGUACUGAUUUUAAUGGCGGGCGACUCUGCAGCUACAAUGGCAACCGCGACAGAAAAAAAACACCGAAUGACCGCUAAGCAACUAUUUCAACACCAGCUCAAGUCAAAUAUCGUCUGCGUCAACAAAACUGCUCAUGCAUGACCCGCUCUUAGCUACCUAUUCAACGAGACUGAACGAAUACAAUAAAACGCACCCCUCGAAUUUCAUUUGACAAUACGCGUCUUGUCGUUUAUUUGUCGCAGUUGUGCCAGUUUCGCUUGGCUUCCGUUGACAUCAUCGUCGCAUCGAUAUUUUUCAAUCUGUCAUUGUCUUUCUUUUAUUGUUUCUGCCCAUAUUUUAUUCAAUCGCUUUACUCUCUCUCUCUCCAUUUCUCAUUGCUACAGUUCUUUCCAGUGCUUUGUUAUUGUUUCUAUUACUGUUAUCGAUGUCAACGUCGUCUUUUUUUUGACGCCACUAACGGCAGCAUUACAGUCAAAUCUUUCUGUUCUUUGGCCUUCUUUUUUUUUUUUUUUUUUUUUUUUUUUUUUUUUUUUUAACCCCCAUUUGCGAUCUUCCGCUCCGUGUUUUAUGAACGCAGCAGGUUUACAAAGUACUUUUCUAGCUAGCUAAAUGGACGCCCGUUUACAUAGUUAACUCUUUUGCUCACGUCAACUUUCGCGCAUCGCUAAGCCAUUCUCUCACACAGACUCUCCAUUGCUCGGUGCUCGUUACCAUUUCUGUGUUCUACCUUGUUCGACAAUUCGCUGGACAUUUCCGUGGAGGCGGACGGUGGGGUCUCAAUUCUAAGCAAUGGCGUUUGCGUCUGCUGCUGCUGCUGAUUCCGUUCGCUAAUCAAAUUUUCGAAUGAAUUCGAAAUGACAGUAUGGCUGUCAAAACGUGGAUUUACCCCGUUUCGUUUUUGCAUAUAUUUGGAUAACACAUGAUUAAACGGGUCACGUGGGGCAUCCGUCCGCCAUCCCUGACCAGUUCCAGCUGUUAAUUCUACUGUUGCAAUGCGGCUCAAGUGUAUAUACUUUCGGAUCGUAUUAUUAUCAUCUUCGGGUGGCAUUACGUAGUGGCGAAAUAUAAUUCAGUUUCCUUUCCUAUCAUAUAUAUAUAUAUAUAUAUAUAUAUAUAUAUAUAUAUAUAUUAGUACCCGUAUGCUCCAGAUCGGUGGACGCACAAAAGCCGCAAGGAAAGGCGGUUGACAUUUUAGAUAAUUAUUAUACUGUCUCUGAUGGUAUAGUGUCAGUAACCUAAUUCAAAACACACAAUUUAUCUUAAUUAUUAGCUUGUCCUUAUGGCUUAACGUCAUCUCGUGGCAUAAACUUUCCAGAGCACUGUAGGGUAUGGACGGGUAGCACCCCGCUGAUUUCUGGUAAAAGCUUGCGCAGUUGUGCAGAUCAUUGAAGACUUCUCGGUAAUAGUGAAAGGUAAUCUUGUAUCGAAUACAAUACAAACUCCGUAACUAAGAACACAGAAAAAAAAGUCGACAUCUUUUGAAAGCUUUGUAAGUUCCGCGCAAUUAAAAAUUGGAGAAUCUGCACUUGUUGAUUAAUCCCACAGCGUAGGCGUUUCUUUUUGCCUCUCUCGACAGUACGACCGUCUAAUUUCGGCGAACAAGAUGAAAUAUUUUCUAAUGCUUAUGUGAGCAUUGUCCUUUUUGCACAUGAUGUUUGAAAUUUUGCGUAUAAACUUGUAUACGUGUCAUAAUUGCGGCUCUAGUUAUUCUCUGCUUACCGGCCUCUGACGCGGACGGAGUUCAUAUCAGCUCUUUAAAUGGCUCUAUAAAAAGGAAAGCGACGGCCAAACAGACACAUCUGAUCAACAAGUGGCGUCAAACGUAGUGUGGGUCAGGUCCGGAGGCUCCUCUUCCCUGCUUUCAAAUCUCCGUCAAACGUUUGACCUCUCUGAAGGGACCUGAUUGGCUGUGGCAUUGGAUGCACUAACGUUGAAUGACUAGAAGAGGUGUGAUAGUAACAUAAACAAGCAACUCACUAAGCAACAAACGAAGCAACAGAGGCAUUUCUUCAGCGACCUCCUACAUGUUUUCACUGGUGUCAGCAGUAGUCAAUGCAGCGACCGUUCGAAGACGAUAUUAAUAGCAUACAUCAUUCGCCUACAGCAAAGUUUAUGCUAUCUUCCGUUUAUAUGAUCCUCAGUCGAGUGCAAUAAUAACGAUUAUAAUAGAAGUAAUGACGCAGCCUACGUAACGGUACGACGCGAUCGAUCACACCGCCUUUCAUUGGCCGCCGGACGAAUCUAGACGGACGUUUCUUUUCUCGUUUACGUCUAGCGUCGUUGUUCGGGCUUCGAACAUCUUCGGCACGACCAUUUGCUAUUGUUAUUCAUGACAAACAAACGUUUAUAGGCAACAAACACUAUAUUCACACAGCAACAACUUUACUACUGCUCACUGUCAUGUUCUCGUUGUCAGGCUGUUACGGUCAUUAGGCUCUAUAUCGCGUACUAUCGCCCUGGUGCCGAUUCGAACCGGCCAUCCUUUUCCGUCCCUUCAAUAUAUGUCGACUGCAUUGACCAGUGCUGCAGAAUUCGGCCUGUGGAAUCCCUUUAUCGAUUGCGCGUGUCCGGCUGGUAGAGCCGAAAUCUUAUCAACUUCUAGUUGCUAUACAAUCUUCUAUUUCUGUCACGUUAAUAAUUUCGGUUAGUUGAAAUCUAAUCAGCACCCAUUUUCCUCUAAUGCCCAGUCGACGAAAUUAGCCACAAACCUAUAUGAAACUGUCGAUGUCGUAGGCAGAAACUUAAAAUUGUGUGAUCAGCUUUCACUAGAAACAAGUAGAGGAAAUACACUGUCGGGUAAAUUUUCAUCGUUUCCACAUUUUCCAGUUUGACUUAUGCGUCGAAGGGUGGAAGUUCUCAUUUUUCGCUUGUUGAACUACUAUUAUGGCCUGUUUUCUAUCGCUCCUGCCCUUUUCGACAGAAGUUCUUCGUUCUCUUCUCUACCGCUAGUUACCCAUGUACCAAACAAAAUGUGCUCAGCAUGCACUACGUUACCUGCCUCUGCCACUAUUUGCCUAGCUACUUUCGACUUUUUUGCACUGGCAUUGAUACAUCGUAAUAUCGUUACAUGUUCGCAGUCCGAAUACCGAUACCUGGGCCUCUAAAUAUAGUAUGUGAGUUUCACAAUAUUCAGCGUUUUCGUCGACCACCCGUACGUAAUGGCCCGUACGUCAUCUUUUCAUUGUUCCGGCGUCGUUUUGUCUCUCUAUUUUUUUUUUUUUAUUAUUUAUAUUCUAUUUUUCGACCCCGCAUCUCUUCUAGUUCUCUCCUCUUUUUCUCUACUAUGUCGCGACGAUAAAUUAGUCCAUUUUGCAAACCUUUUAAUAUAAACCGUAGUGCUCCUUGAAUAAUAAUAAUUAUGUAGUAAUAGCAUCUGUCGGCGUAUAUUUUCCUCCUCUUAUUAUUAUUAUGGUAAUUCUUCUUUAUAAUUAUAUUAACCAGCAUUAGUAUAUUUAUUACUUUUCCUCUAUCUCCUUUUCUGUGUCUCGCAUAUUAUAACAUGUUUCAAGUAGUUAAUUGGAACAUGUUUGACAUGAACAUGAUUAUUUUUUCUUUCUAGACGGACGGAGCGAAACCGCUCUAAGGCGGAGUUACGGCAGGGUAAAUAGGGUCCACGAGACAAUCCCAUAAAAGCGUUCCCAAACAAUGGCGUAUGUCGGAGCAACUGUGUUCUAAAUCUUGUCCCAACUCUACUGCUUGGGGAAGACGCUUCGAGAAAGAUCGCGCAGGCCUCAGGGGCUAACCUCUACGCGAAUUGGCCGGAUUCUACACGCGGGGUACCCGUUGCCGUUUUAGGGCUAGAAGGACUGUGGGCCGACCUAAAUCACACUAGUUGAUUAGCCCCAAAUUAUUAGUAAGACGAUCCCUGGCCGAAGGGACGGAAGUAUUGCUGAAUUGGUUACAUAGUUUUAUCAAGUCUCAUAGCUUCAGUCAUCAGUUAAGAGCCAUGAGUCAGCUUGUCUAUUAUCUGUUUUUGCAUUUUGUAUUGAAAUUGUGUUCCAUUUGUUUACUGCGAACAUGUUUUGAGUCGCGUUUAUUUUUAUGACGUAUUUAUGGCGGGCUGAUGUGCUUGCGCUUAGACUUCCGUAUAUGACAUGACAUUCGCACGUAUUUCUAGAUAGCACAAUAUUUUCUGUGAUCCUAUCUACGCUUCGAUUUGUGUGUAUGCUAUUUUAUCUAUGGAUUUGUUUGUUUUGAGCCAUCCGUAUUCUCCUAGCAGACAAAUUUCGUCUCUUAGCAGGCGGCUUUUUUUUCUCUUAUUGCUUGUCCAGUGCUCGUGUGUUAAUUCGUGUUGCUUCUUUAUGGCAGUCCGUCCGUUUCUAGUAUUAUUAUAAUCUAUACAUGGUUGUUUUUUUCAGUCGUUUCUUUUCCUUUUCCUGUUGUUGUAUUUAUAGGGAUUGCGAGUGCGCAGUACAGGUGUUUAAUGUGAUCGUUAAGCACGGCCAUAUGUAUAGUUAGCGUGAACGAGUGAACGGGUAGAUGUGUGUCUGUUCGCGUGUGUUUACGGAUCCCAGGUCAUAUAUGACGCCUUACAAACUGCUAGUCAGUUUCUCAACCCUCAAUAGUACAACUGACUUUGGUCAUUUUUUUGUCUCAGUCGACUUGGCUUAUCGUUGCACAUGUAUUGUCAUCGUAAUUACUGGUAGAUGCUUUGUCCUAUCGAAAUGGCACGACUUUCAUUUCUCUUCUCCGAAUAUUUUUCGAGAUUUAUAUGUCCAUUGUAUAUGAAAGUAAUCUAUGAACCACUACAAGUAGAUCGGAUGGGUGUUCGUUGUUCCAACAUAUAAUCAUGACGUAACUAUGACAACGUUUCGCUUAUUCGACGCUGCCUACACUGCAGAAUAUCAAUUCACAAUUGGCAUACAGCUCUGACCUAUUCGUCCUUGUUGUGUCAAUAAAUCAUCUAUUUGUGUUUCGAUCUGCCGCCAUCUUUUUGCGGAACAUCUGCGCCUUUUAUCGUUACUGAGCACAGUAUAUUAUCUACUGGCUACACGGUGUUACAUAGUAUAUUAUAUUGUCUUUCAUAAUCGGUUGCUGUCACCACAAAUAUUCAUAAUGACCUCCCCACAUCGGUUUCCUUCAAAAGAAAGUGACCUGUUUACGUCAACUGCAACCGCUACCACGGCACUGCUACAGCCCUUCCCUACAUGUACCAUAGCUAUUACAUCAUACAUGGAUAUUUUCUACUAAUAUAACUGUCCUAGUAAUAAUAAUAAUAAGCAAUUUGUUUAAUAAAUAAUAUACGAUAGUAGUAGUAAUAUUAUUGUCGUUAUCGAUUUCGAGUUAAUUGGUUUCAUCACCAAUGUAACAUUAUUAUCCAAAUGCAUUUUCUGUUUAUAUGUUAGUCUUGUGUUUGAGUUAAUGAUACGAAACUUGGUGCGGUUGAUAAUAAUAAACAGGGUAAAUAUUAAUGAACGUUGGUAAUACUUACACUUCGUCACACUGCCAGCACGAUAGUCGCAGCGAUAAAACAGUUCUUGCGGUUUUACGUUUACGUGUCCCCUCUUCUUUCUUUCGUUUCGUUCUAAAUCGAUGGACAGUGUAAUUCGAAUACACGGUAACGUACGUUAUUGUUAGCUUUUUAGGUAUCUGCAUUAUGACAACGCGCAGGCCGUUUGAGACCACAGAAGGAUUACCUUCACCCGUGCGACAAUAGUAAUAUUGGAAAUAAUAACUAUACGAGACAGGACUUAUUCGAUCAUUGCUUUCGCUUCGCAACGCUGUUCAGUUGGUUGAAGACUUUCGGGUGCUCACUUGCUUAUGCUUCUGCACGGCGCCGAGCUCUUCACGGUCGAUUUCUAUCUGAGGGGCUUGACAUAGCUUGACACAUAAUUACUUGUUCAGACUUCCUGACUAGCGUGUACAAAAGGUCUCUAAAAGUCUUCAAAGAGUAGAAAAUAGCGAUGUAUGUACGUAUUUCACGGGAGAAUUAGUUCCCAUGUGUGUGGGUGUAUCUGCGUGGCUCGGCAACGAUCCUUUAUUAUCGCCCUGAUCUUCAAAAUCGCUGAUCUCAGUGACAGACCAGACCAUUGAAAUGCUAUUGGGAAGGCCAAUAAUAAGAGAUUCAUUCCUCUCGCGAUGUCUGUUUUGUCGCCUACCUGUCGCUACUUUAAUUGAAGAUAACAUCCUUCUUCCCGUGGUUUCUCUCCUUUCUACCGAAUCUUCAAAGAUACUCCUCGAUCACGACUGGCGCAAAGCGACUUUCAUCAAUGAAGCAACAGCGAUCAGAAACCUUCACGUCGUAAUUUUUAGCGCGAUUUCUCACUCGACCAUCUGGAUGCCUUUUCUAACCCACUGUUUUUGGAAUGCGUCAUAAUUAUUUUUGUCCUGUUUGAUCCUGUUCUCCAUUGCCCCAUGCAAUUGCCCUUACGGCAAGUUUCGGGAACUACUGGGCUAUGUUUAACGUGUAUCUUUGCUGAUCCCAUUUGACUGCUAUGGACCCAGCAACGAGGCGUGCCUACACGGCGACGGAACGUACGGCGCCUUCGCACGCCGGAAACGCGUAGAGAAGAGCCAGAUUGUACGUGCGCCAAACCUCGACAACACCACUCUC